AACGCAGUUUUUAUUUCUUCAUUUUCAUGUCGAGAGAGUUUGCCGGAGCAGAGAAUAAAUCCUAAAAAGUAAAACCUAAUCCGAGAGAGUUUGCCGGAGCAGAGAAUAAAUCCUAAAAAGUAAAACCUAAUCUCUGGCGUUUGAAACUUCAAUCUACAAACCCUUAAUUUGAGAAUCAAAUAAAUGGUCAUUAUCAGUACAUAUUCUUGAAGAUUAAUUCGCAAUCGUGGAGAAAAGUUGAUGAGGUUCAAUUUCAGCAAAUUAAUUGGAGAUUUCGUCAUCAAAAUCGAUGUGAAAGACAUAAUUGGUUGCGGUUGCAGUUUUGUUCAAAGUUGUUCAAAACCAUACCAUGCGCAUCCAUAAAGACAAGGUUGCAUCUUCUCCUGUGGUACACCAUUGUGCUAUCAGUUCCAACAGAUUCUUCUAGUGAUUCACAUAAAGUAUGAUUCUUCUCCAAGAAAGAACAUGACGAGUUAAUUAUAAAAUUUUGCAGAUGUGUGAUCUGUUGUAUGGAAUACAAAAACCGAGACAUGCUGACCACUAUAUCAUUCAAAAUGUAUCACGCAUAAGCUAAAGAAGGUGAUUCAAUUUAUGUUUUACGUAGUGUACUUUUUAGUGCACCAGUUUUAUCAUACUUGUUGUAAGUCGUGCACUUUUUUUCUGCAUUGGUUAUUUACCUGAAACUAUCAAACUAGUAUUUGCAUUUGGCCUUGUCUACACACAACAUACGUAGAAAUCUUCCUACAUCGAAGAUCAUCAUCCCCAAGUCAUUAGGUAGUAGCAAAUUUAACUCCUUUUUGGGUUCCACCAUUUGAAGCUGAGACGCAGAACAAAACAUUUAAAAGGUAUUGAUUAAGGAUCUCCACUCUUCUGUUUGUUUCUUCUAUUUUGCAUCUUAGGUUUUUUCUGUGUAUUUUUUGCUGAACGGUACAUAAUUAUAUGAAAGCAAGUCAGAUUCCUGCAUUUUUAGCAUUGUCAGUUUCCUAGUUUACUAAAACUAGAAGCUGUCGACGUAUGUUGAGUUUGUGAACAUAGUAUUACACAUGCUGGAUAUUAAUGUGUACAUAAUUAUACAAUGUUGGUUUGUUAGUGUGUAUAUAGUUGUACAUAUGCUGAAUAUUAAUGUGUACAUGAUUAUACACAUGUUUAUUGUCAAUGCGUACGUAGUUGUAUACAUGUUUAUUGUUAACUAAUGUGUACAUUGUUACACACAUUAAAUCUUUGAUCUUCUUUAUCAAAAUCAUCCAUUCUUACUGAAGUUGUUUAUGACAAUAUGUGCACAUUAAUAUACACUGUAUUUUGUACAAUAAUAAGAGGCUGAAUAAGAGGCAAACAGAAACAAGCAGAGGGUACAAGGUGGAAAAUUAUAGAAUAAAGUGGAAGAGAUUUUUCAAGAUCGAUUAGAGGAUGACCCUGUUUUGGUCAUGUAUGUGAUAGCAAUUUUGACUGUGGGCCAUCUAAACCAGGUAUUUAUUCAUUUAUGUCUAUUCUAUUUUUUAAUUGUACUUGACUGAGCACAUUUUUCUGUAGAUGAGUCGACAACUAAUUAUAAUAACUUUGAUCAACUUUUUUGUAUGUUUUGAUACACUUCUAUGCGAACCUUCUAUUGUCGGAGUUUGAGUAGAGUAGUAAGCAAGCUUUCCCAAACAACAAGACUGUGCUAAUGUUGUAGAUAAGAAUUUAUUAGAAAUUAUCAUGUGCCUAAAUUAGGAUCUUAGGCAUUUGGAUACUAAUAGAUGCUAAAGUAAAAUCAGAGUUGAUGCUGGUCUUUGUCAAAGUGAGACAAAAAUAUAGCACCUGAUAUUCUCUGAGAUAAUGUUUUUAUUGACAAUAUAGGAGUUUCUUGUGGUUUGUUCAUUGAAAGUGUAUUUUAUGUAAGGAAAUAUGUGAGCUAAAGCUGUUAAAGUUGUUAGUGUACACCAGUUGAUUGUUAAGUGUACAUCGUUGUACACCUGUUUAUUAUCAAUGUAUUCAUAGUUGUACACCUGUUGAUAUGUGUACAUAAUUGUACAUCUGUUUAUUGUUAAUGUUUACAUAGUUGUACACAUGAUGAUUAUUAAUAGUUUUUCUUGUUCAA